UACGUAGGGUGCGAGCGUUGUCCGGAAUUACUGGGCGUAAAGAGCGUGUAGGCGGCCAAACAGGUCCGUUGUGAAAACUGGAGGCUUAACCUCCAGACGUCGACGGAAACCGUAUGGCUAGAGUCCGGAAGAGGAGAGUGGAAUUCCUGGUGUAGCGGUGAAAUGCGCAGAUAUCAGGAAGAACACCAAUGGCGAAGGCAGCUCUCUGGGACGGUACUGACGCUGAGACGCGAAAGCGUGGGGAGCGAACAGG
rnacentral:rRNA from 1 species